UUGGAGAGUUUGAUCCUGGCUCAGAACGAACGCUGGCGGCAGGCUUAACACAUGCAAGUCGAGCGCCCCGCAAGGGGAGCGGCAGACGGGUGAGUAACGCGUGGGAACGUACCAUUUGCUACGGAAUAACUCAGGGAAACUUGUGCUAAUACCGUAUGUGCCCUUCGGGGGAAAGAUUUAUCGGCAAAUGAUCGGCCCGCGUUGGAUUAGCUAGUUGGUGGGGUAAAGGCUCACCAAGGCGACGAUCCAUAGCUGGUCUGAGAGGAUGAUCAGCCACACUGGGACUGAGACACGGCCCAGACUCCUACGGGAGGCAGCAGUGGGGAAUAUUGGACAAUGGGCGCAAGCCUGAUCCAGCCAUGCCGCGUGAGUUAUGAAGGCCCUAGGGGUUAAAGCUCUUUCACCGGUAAGAAUAAUUACGGUAACCGAGAAGAAGCCUGCCAUUGU
rnacentral:rRNA from 1 species